rnacentral:lncRNA from 1 species
UUCCCCUUGCGUAAUCGACUCUCGAACCCAUAUUUGGUUGCGACGACCAUAAUCGUUAUCAUUUGUUCUUGUGUUUUAUUGAUAUUUCCCCUUUCCUUUUAGGAAUAAAUAAAGUUCGGUGGCGACUCUGUUUAGCCCAUCAUUGCGAGCAUGUGAUUGCGCUUCACUAGGUCGUGUUCUCAUUUUUUUUAGCUACGACAGAUUCCUCUCACUAUUGCUGGUAAAACUCAUGUGUAUAUGGGUCAUUUUCCUAACCCUAAUGUUGAUGCUGAAAAA